rnacentral:rRNA from 1 species
UACGGAGGGUGCGAGCGUUGUCCGGAAUCACUGGGCGUAAAGGGCGCGUAGGCGGCCGGAGAAGUCGGUGGUGAAAGCUCGGGGCUCAACUCCGAGUCGGCCACCGAUACUGUUCGGCUCGAGUUUGGUAGAGGCAGAUGGAAUUCCGGGUGUAGCGGUGGAAUGCGUAGAGAUCCGGAAGAACACCGGUGGCGAAGGCGGUCUGCUGGGCCAAGACUGACGCUGAGGAGCGAAAGCAUGGGGAGCGAACAGG